GACGGAAGGUGCAAGCGUUGCUCGGAAUCACUGGGCGUAAAGGGUGCGUAGGCGGCUUCUUAAGUCUGGUGUGAAAGCCCAGGGCUCAGCUCUGGAAGUGCACUAGAAACUGAGGAGCUUGAGUACCGGAGGGGAGAGUGGAAUUCCUGGUGUAGCGGUGAAAUGCGUAGAUAUCAGGAGGAAUACCGGUGGCGGAAGCGACUCUCUGGACGGUUACUGACGCUGAGGCACGAAAGCGUGGGGAGCAAACAGG
rnacentral:rRNA from 1 species